rnacentral:rRNA from 1 species
UUAAGGUGGUAGGCUGAAAUCUUAGGUAAAUCCGGGGUUUCAAGGCCGAGAGCUGAUGACGAGUCGUCUUUUAGAUGACGAAGUGGUUGAUGCCAUGCUUCCAAGAAAAGCUUCUAAGCUUCAGGUAACCAGGAACCGUACCCCAAACCGACACAGGUGGUCGGGUAGAGAAUACCAAGGCGCUUGAGAGAACUCGGGUGAAGGAACUAGGCAAAAUGGCACCGUAACUUCGGGAGAAGGUGCGCCGGCUAGGGUGAAGGAUUUACUCCGUAAGCUCUGGCUGGUCGAAGAUACCAGGCCGCUGCGACUGUUUAUUAAAAACACAGCACUCUGCAAACACGAAAGUGGACGUAUAGGGUGUGACGCCUGCCCGGUGCCGGAAGGUUAAUUGAUGGGGUUAGCGCAAGCGAAGCUCUUGAUCGAAGCCCCGGUAAACGGUGGCCGUAACUAUAACGGUCCUAAGGUAGCGAAAUUCCUUGUCGGGUAAGUUCCGACCUGCACGAAUGGCGUAACGAUGGCGGCGCUGUCUCCACCCGAGACUCAGUGAAAUUGAAAUCGCUGUGAAGAUGCAGUGUAUCCGCGGCUAGACGGAAAGACCCCGUGAACCUUUACUGUAGCUUUGCACUGGACUUUGAGCCUGCUUGUGUAGGAUAGGUGGGAGGCUUUGAAGCGUGGACGCCAGUUCGCGUGGAGCCAUCCUUGAAAUACCACCCUGGCAUGCUUGAGGUUCUAACUCUGGUCCGUAAUCCGGAUCGAGGACAGUGUAUGGUGGGCAGUUUGACUGGGGCGGUCUCCUCCUAAAGAGUAACGGAGGAGUACGAAGGUGCGCUCAGACCGGUCGGAAAUCGGUCGCAGAGUAUAAAGGCAAAAGCGCGCUUGACUGCGAGACAGACACGUCGAGCAGGUACGAAAGUAGGUCUUAGUGAUCCGGUGGUUCUGUAUGGAAGGGCCAUCGCUCAACGGAUAAAAGGUACUCCGGGGAUAACAGGCUGAUACCGCCCAAGAGUUCAUAUCGACGGCGGUGUUUGGCACCUCGAUGUCGGCUCAUCACAUCCUGGGGCUGAAGCCGGUCCCAAGGGUAUGGCUGUUCGCCAUUUAAAGUGGUACGCGAGCUGGGUUUAGAACGUCGUGAGACAGUUCGGUCCCUAUCUGCCGUGGACGUUUGAGAUUUGAGAGGGGCUGCUCCUAGUACGAGAGGACCGGAGUGGACGAACCUCUGGUGUUCCGGUUGUCACGCCAGUGGCAUUGCCGGGUAGCUAUGUUCGGAAAAGAUAACCGCUGAAAGCAUCUAAGCGGGAAACUUGCCUCAAGAUGAGAUCUCACUGGGAACUUGAUUCCCCUGAAGGGCCGUCGAAGACUACGACGUUGAUAGGCUGGGUGUGUAAGCGUUGUGAGGCGUUGAGCUAACCAGUACUAAUUGCCCGUGAGGCUUGACC